rnacentral:rRNA from 1 species
AGAGUUUGAUCCUGGCUCAGGAUGAACGCUGGCGGCGUGCCUAACACAUGCAAGUCGAGCGAGAUGUAUAUGGACGAAACUUCGGUCUAGGAAAUAUACUGACAGCGGCGGACGGGUGAGUAACGCGUAGGCAACCUGCCCCAAACACAGGGAUAGCCUCGGGAAACCGGGAUUAAAACCUGAUAAUGCCAGAGAGUCACAUGGCUCGCUGGCCAAAGAUUUAUCGGUUUGGGAUGGGCCUGCGUCUGAUUAGUUUGUUGGUGGGGUAACGGCCUACCAAGACUACGAUCAGUAGCCGACCUGAGAGGGUGAUCGGCCACAUUGGAACUGAGACACGGUCCAAACUCCUACGGGAGGCAGCAGUGGGGAAUAUUGCACAAUGGGCGAAAGCCUGAUGCAGCAACGCCGCGUGAGCGAUGAAGGCCUUUGGGUCGUAAAGCUCUGUCCUUGGGGAAGAAAAAAAUGACGGUACCCAAGGAGGAAGCCCCGGCUAACUACGUGCCAGCAGCCGCGGUAAUACGUAGGGGGCAAGCGUUAUCCGGAAUUAUUGGGCGUAAAGAGUACGUAGGUGGUCUUUUAAGCGCAGGGUUUAAGGCAAUGGCUUAACCAUUGUUCGCCCUGUGAACUGGAAGACUUGAGUGUAGGAGAGGAAAGUGGAAUUCCUAGUGUAGCGGUGAAAUGCGUAGAUAUUAGGAGGAACAUCAGUGGCGAAGGCGACUUUCUGGACUAUUACUGACACUGAGGUACGAAAGCGCGGGGAGCAAACAGGAUUAGAUACCCUGGUAGUCC